AGUAGAUUGGGAAACUCAUCAAAUUUACAAAAACUACCGAGACAAGCUUAGUCAGCUGAUGGCGGGCCCCAUCCCCUCAGGGGGAGGCUUACGUAGCCCAGACGGAUUACAGAGGUUGGCAAGCACUCAAAUCCUGUCAUUCGGAGUUUCAUCGCAUCCUUUGAUGUGGCUC
rnacentral:sRNA from 1 species